CCUACGGGGGGGCAGCAGUGGGGAAUAUUGGACAAUGGGCGCAAGCCUGAUCCAGCCAUGCCGCGUGUGUGAAGAAGGCCUUAUGGUUGUAAAGCACUUUAAGCGAGGAGGAGGCUACUUUAGAUAAUACCUAGAGAUAGUGGACGUUACUCGCAGAAUAAGCACCGGCUAACUCUGUGCCGCGCCG
rnacentral:rRNA from 1 species